UACGAAGGGGGCUAGCGUUGCUCGGAAUCACUGGGCGUAAAGCGCACGUAGGCGGCUUUUUAAGUCAGAGGCGAAAUCCUGGAGCUCAACUCCAGAACUGCCUUUGAUACUGGAGAGCUUGAGUCCGGGAGAGGUGAGUGGAACUGCGAGUGUAGAGGUGAAAUUCGUAGAGAUCCGGAGGAACACCAAAGGCGAAGGCAGUGUCCUGGGGAGUACCUGACGCUCAGGUGCGAAAGCCAGGGGAGCGAACGGG
rnacentral:rRNA from 1 species